rnacentral:tRNA from 1 species
GGGGAUUUAGCUUAGUGGUACAAGCGCCUGCCUGGCAAGCACUAGGUCGUAAGUUCAAUCCCUG